rnacentral:rRNA from 1 species
CCAGGAGUGGAGCCUGCGGCCCAAUUUGACUCAACACGGGAAAACUCACCCGGUCCGGACACUGGAAGGAUUGACAGAUUGAGAGGUCCUCUUUCUUGAUUCAGUGGGUGGUGGUGGUGGUGCAUGGCCGUUCUUAGUUGGUGGAGCGAUUUGUCUGGUUAAUUCCGAUAACGAACGAGACUCUAGCCUACUAAAUAGAAUACCAGCUUACAUACACGUUGGUGGUAUUAUUCACACUUCUUAGAGGGACAGGCGGCGUCGUUUCAGCCGCACGAAACAGAGCAAUAACAGGUCUGUGAUGCCCUUAGAUGUCCGGGGCCGCACGCGCGCUACAAUGAAGUGAUCAGCGUGUAUAUACUUAGCAUACUCUGCUAAGAGUGGGUAACCCAAUGAAACUUCUUCGUGAUUGGGAUAGGGGAUUGUAAUUAUUCCCCUUGAACGAGGAAUUCCCAGUAAGCGCGAGUCAUUAGCUCGCGUUGAUUACGUCCCUGCCCUUUGUACACACCGCCCGUCGCUACU